GGCGAGGUAGCUCAGUUGGUUAGAGCGCACGGCUCAUACCCGUGUUGUCGGCGGUUCGAACCCGCCCCUCGCUACCA
rnacentral:tRNA from 1 species